AAACUAGUAAGUUAAUUAAACUGUGGGGUUCAUGUCUCCAUUUUACACGUUUUUGUGUCUGGUUGA
rnacentral:tRNA from 1 species